UAAGGAAUAUUGGUCAAUGGGGGCAACCCUGAACCAGCCAUGCCGCGUGCAGGAUGACGGCCCUCUGGGUUGUAAACUGCUUUUAUUUGGGGCUAAUUGUGUGCUAUAGGCACGCUUGCAGGUACCAUUUGAAUAAGCACCGGCUAACUACGUGCCAGCAGCCGCGGUAAUACGUAGGGUGCAAGCGUUGUCCGGAUUUAUUGGGUUUAAAGGGUGCGCAGGCGGCCCUAUAAGUUAGUGGUGAAAGCGUCCGGCUUAACCGGAUACCCGCCAUUGAUACUGUAGGGCUUGAGUGUGUCAGAGGAGGUUGGAAUGCGUGGUGUAGCGGUGAAAUGCAUAGAUAUCACGCAGAACACCGAUUGCGAAGGCAGAUCUCUAUGACAUAACUGACGCUCAGGCACGAAAGCGUGGGGAGCGAACAGGAUUAGAUACCCCCGUAGUCC
rnacentral:rRNA from 1 species